rnacentral:tRNA from 1 species
CGGGAUGUAGUUCAGUAGGUUUAGAAUGCUGGUCUGGGGGACCAGUGGUCGCUGGUUCGAGUCCAGUCAUCCCGACCC